rnacentral:rRNA from 1 species
CUGUGUCCUUCGACGCCGGUUCACCGCCUGUCGGUGCCAACUGGCGUUUUGCGGGACGUCCUGUCGGUGGUGUGUCAGGAAUCUUAGUUGUGCUAUGCUCUGCUUAGUGCAGCUCUGGUUUCGGGCCACUUUCAUAAUCCCGCCGCGGUGCUCUUAAUCGAGUGUCGAGGCGGGCCGGCACGUUUACUUUGAACAAAUUAGAGUGCUUCAAGCAGGCUUGUCACGCCUGUAUACUGUGUGCAUGGAAUAAUGGAAUAGGACCUCGGUUCUAUUUUGUUGGUUUCCGGAAUCUGAGGUAAUGAUCAAUGGGGACAGGCGGGGGCAUUCGUAUUGCGACGUUAGAGGUGAAAUUCUUGGAUCGUCGCAAGACGGACCGAAGCGAAAGCAUUUGCCAAGUAUGUUCCCGUCGAUCAAGAACGAAAGUUAGAGGUUCGAAGGCGAUCAGAUACCGCCCUAGUUCUAACCAUAAACAAUGCCUGCCAGCGAUCCGCCGGCGUCCCUCCGAUGACCCGGCGGGCAGCUUCCGGGAAACCAGAGCUUUUGGGUUCCGGGGGAAGUAUGGUUGCAAAGCUGAAACUUAAAGGAAUUGACGGAAGGGCACCACCAGGAGUGGAGCCUGCGGCUUAAUUUGACUCAACACGGGAAAACUCACCAGGCCCGGACACUGGAAGGAUUGACAGAUUGAUAGCUCUUUCUUGAUUCAGUGGGUGGUGGUGCAUGGCCGUUCUUAGUUGGUGGAGCGAUUUGUCUGGUUAAUUCCGAUAACGAACGAGACUCUAGCCUACUAACUAGACGUAUCUGGUAUCAGCAAUCGUGCUACCAGCGAUCAUAUCUCUUCUUAGAGGGACAGGCGGCUUCUAGCCGCACGAGACUGAGCAAUAACAGGUCUGUGAUGCCCUUAGAUGUCCUGGGCCGCACGCGCGCUACACUGAAGGAAUCAGCGUGUCUUCCCUGUCCGAAAGGACCGGGUAACCCGCUGAACCUCCUUCGUGCUUGGGAUUGGGGCUUGCAAUUGUUCCCCAUGAACGAGGAAUUCCCAGUAAGCGCGAGUCAUAAGCUCGCGUUGAUUACGUCCCUGCCCUUUGUACACACCGCCCGUCGCUACUACCGAUUGAAUGAUUUAGUGAGGUCUUCGGACCGGUGCGCGGAGGCGGUUUUCCGCUCCCGAUGUUGUCGGAAAGAUGACCAAACUUGAUCAUU